AUAAAUUGAGGUCUAAGCAUAAUAUUGGUCCUUCCUCAAAUGUCACAUUUGAGGUGGACUUUACUGUUGAGUAACUAUGUGAGUAACUAUGUUUUAUAUUUGCAUGGUCCUCAAUUCUUUCAGAAGAAAUAUUCAGUUUUUUGUGUCAAUUGGUUUCAUGCAAUUUUAUAAUACACUUAACAGUCUGUGGGUGUUUGUGGCCUGAGUGAAUUACUAAGAGGAAGGCAUAGACUGCUUCGGUCCGAGAGGUGAAGUCUGGUACACACUGUACGUGUAAGUGUUGAGUGAGGGACCGUGCCCUUUGACCCUGUGUGUGACCUCAGUUCUGGAGUGUAGUGGAGUCCUUCUGUGAGUAAACACACACUCGGCCAACGGGAAGAGAGGAUUUCCUCUGUUUAAACGCUGUGUGUGUGUUCCAGGAGAGAGGAGACAGAAGCGAGGUCAGUGAAAUGGAUGUACUGAGAUUUGAACAUUUUUACCGUUAUUUUGUUUACAUUAUAAGCUUCUAACAGGCUGAAAAAAUCAUAUAUCUUACCAUUUCGUACAGCAAUAUUUUAUAACAUAACCCAUUUCCACCUACAAGGAUGGUGAGAAUAUGUAGUAUGCAGACCAGUAGACAAGGAGAAACAGUGGAAUGAAAAGAAAACACAUAAAGGUGUGGACUGCUCCAGAUAUGAUAAGAGCCAUGCAGACCAAAUCACUCGGGCUUUGUGGACAGGGGAAGAUUGGACAGCUGAGGUGGCAGUGCCAACAGGAAAAGGCCCCCUUUGAAACAGGAAAAGGACGUGAAGAGUGUUUGUCAAAGGAUACUGAGAGGUUUGUUACAUCAACUAAAGGAGCUUCGGUGUGUUUAGGUUGGGGUGUGUGUGUUUGUACUUAUACUUGUAAAGGGCAGAUUUCUGGAAAUGGCCUUACGAAUACAGUCUUUACAAAAAAAUGACUGACAGGGUUUUACCUGAAUAAGCAGCAAAACAGAUCAGACUUUACUCCGUUAGUCAAAAGUGUGGCUAAACAAAUCUAACUGUCACAGUAUGAACAGAAAAAGACCUGGAUGUCCACUGUGAGUGACCUUCACCCAAGUGUCUGUUUUAAUCUAUAAUAAUAAAGAAUAAAAAUAGCCAGGAUCUUAAUGAGAC
ensembl:lncRNA